GGUGUUCGGGUUGUCAUGCCAAUGGCACUGCCCGGUAGCUAAAUGCGGAAGAGAUAAGUGCUGAAAGCAUCUAAGCACGAAACUUGCCCCGAGAUGAGUUCUCCCUGAGACUAUAAGUCUCCUGAAGGAACGUUGAAGACGACGACGUUGAUAGCCCGGGUGUGUAAGCGCAGCGAUGCGUUGAGCUAACCGGUACUAAUGAACCGUGAGGCUUAACCUUACAACGCCGAAG
rnacentral:rRNA from 1 species